GAGCUGGUGGCGGCGCGAGUUUGAUCGGGGCGCGCGGCAGCGUUCUCUUUGCUUCCCCCGGACUCGGCCGGCCCGCCCCCACCGGCUCCCGCCAACCUGCGGGGGCCUGAGCCCGCGGGAAUCAGGAUCCGCCCUUCGGAUGGGGGCUGCGUUCGGAAAAGGGAGGGCACACCCAGUUUUGAACUCUGGAAGGGGUGGAGAAAAGAGGGAAAAAGAACGCUUCCGAGGCCAAUUUUAGGCCCCAGACCUCUCUAAUCCAUUUUAGAGGCCUGGUUUUGGGGCCAGGUAGCUGAGAGAGGGGUUGGGGUGAGGCGCAGGGCGUGCAUUCUUGGCGCCUCGUGAUCUUCUCAGGGUGUCGGAAAAGAUAUCGAAAUACUUCUUGGGAAAGUCUCCUUAAAAUUUCAACUCUGUCUCUCCAGGCUGGAAUUUGGCUGCUUCAACAAGCAACCUUUCCUGAAAACCAAAACAUUGUAAUCCCAAGUGAUUGGUUUGACAGCGCAUGUUUUGGCUGGCUGAGCUUGCAUGCCAACUGCGUCCCACCUGGUGCCCUUGA
rnacentral:lncRNA from 1 species